rnacentral:rRNA from 1 species
GAUGAACGCUGGCGGCGUGCCUAAUACAUGCAAGUCGAGCGAACAGAUGAGAAGCUUGCUUCUCUGAUGUUAGCGGCGGACGGGUGAGUAACACGUGGGUAACCUACCUAUAAGACUGGGAUAACUCCGGGAAACCGGGGCUAAUACCGGAUAAUAUAUUGAACCGCAUGGUUCAAUGUUGAAAGACGGUUUCGGCUGUCACUUAUAGAUGGACCCGCGCCGUAUUAGCUAGUUGGUAAGGUAACGGCUUACCAAGGCAACGAUACGUAGCCGACCUGAGAGGGUGAUCGGCCACACUGGAACUGAGACACGGUCCAGACUCCUACGGGAGGCAGCAGUAGGGAAUCUUCCGCAAUGGGCGAAAGCCUGACGGAGCAACGCCGCGUGAGUGAUGAAGGUCUUAGGAUCGUAAAACUCUGUUGUUAGGGAAGAACAAAUUUGUUAGUAACUGAACAAGUCUUGACGGUACCUAACCAGAAAGCCACGGCUAACUACGUGCCAGCAGCCGCGGUAAUACGUAGGUGGCAAGCGUUAUCCGGAAUUAUUGGGCGUAAAGCGCGCGUAGGCGGUUUCUUGAGUCUGAUGUGAAAGCCCACGGCUCAACCCGUGGAGGGUCAUUGGAAACUGGGGAACUUGAGUGCAGAAGAGGAGAGUGGAAUUCCAUGUGUAGCGGUGAAAUG